UUUUCUCUAUUCUCUUUCUCUCUGAAACUCUCUUUUAUCUGAAACCCUAAUGGCAGCCCUUCCACCCUCGCUUCUAUCCUUUUCCUUUACUCAUUUUCACCAUUUUGGCAACUGUGUCACUCUUACAAAACUUCUAAAGGGCUCAGUGAUUCACAUUUGACCCAAAAGCAAUGUCUUCAUAGGAGGAUUAGGGUUUCGUUCUUCUAUCAACAAAGCUUAAAUUGGGGUCUUUUUUGCAAAUGUGUUUGCAGAACAAUUUGUAGAAGAAUCAUAAAUCACAAACAAGGUAAUGUUUUUUCAAAUUCAAAUUUGAUUUCGGAUGAAUUGUGACGUCUAUUUCGGACUACAUAUACCUCAUCUUCUGGAUUGAUUUUGCACUGCAUUGAAUAUCUUUUUUUUUUUUCUGCUUCUCAUUCGAUUCUUAGAUUUCUUUGAUAUUGAUGUUCAUCCGGUUUAAUUGUUUGAAGUGCACUAUUUUCAUCCAUUAUUCGGUGCAUUUCAUAUUGAUGUUCAUUCUCUUUUCGUCCUCUUCUAAUUGCAUUCGUCGAUUUAUUUCAUAUUCAUUUGAACCUCAUUUCUUCAAAGGCAUUUGAUUACAGAUAUGCAUCUUAUUAUAGAUACUAUUUCUAUCCCAUGUAUUAAUUCUCUGUUGUUUGAGAUUAUUCCAACUGAAACAUCUUUGUUCUAUUGUAUUCUGCACAUUGCAUUUCAUAUGGAUUUUCAUCCGGUUUAAAAGUUUCUUUUGGUCAUGUGCAGAAUUUUUCUUAUGCAAAACAUUUAUGCUAUUUUGUUUUUUUCAUCAUAUUUGUCAAAUAUAAAAACUAAAAAAUCACAGCUCAUGUACAUUAUUUUGGUCAUGUGACAUUCAUAUGCUUUUUCCUCUUUUUAUUUUUACUUUGAUAUAUUCUUUUAUCCAAUCUUUUGUGUUCUAUUCUGAUGUGGAUAGGCUAUCAGUUGUUUUAUUACUGAAUAGACUUUGUGGAAAUUUUUAGUCAGAUUUUUAUUUUGUCUCCCCAUUUAUAUGUUAUUGACCGUGAAUCACUACCUAUAUUAAAGUGUAGUGUAUGAGAUUUUGGAAGAGAUCAUACUGGUGCAAUCAUUUUUUGUUCUACUUGGUUGGUACUUACAAAAAUUGGCAAAGAAAGGAAGGGAAAAAAAUUUGUUGACCAUGAGAUUUUCUAUGUCAGGUAUUACCCUGUGGAAUCAGAACUGGUAAGGUUGAAUCAGAAGUAAAAUGUUUGUUUGAGAAUCGAACCGAAUAAUCACAAGAAUCAAAAGUGAGGUAAACUACAUUGUUUGUUACAACCUUGUUGAGAAUCCAUGUUUCUAAGAGGAUAAAUGUGAGGAAGUAGGAUGCAAGUUCAUUUUCCUAUACUACUACUUUCUUCUUUGAUUGAUUUAUGUAAUACAAUGUAUUAGGUUUCAUGAGCAAGUUAAAAUCAACUCAUGUACUUUAACUUUUGUAAGAUCUCACUCAUUUAUAAGUUCUUAUGGGAAAUUUUAUCCAAAAACAAAUUGGAGAAAAUACCAAUUAUGAAAAUCUCUAUGGUGCUGUAGUUGGAAUGCAACAUAUGAAAGUUUAUUGGGUGACAACAAGAGGGUCUGUAUGACUAACCUAUACAAGAUUGUAGCAGUGUAAAUUGGUUUGAUCAUUACAAUAAUUAUAGUUCUUUCUUUCUUUUGAAGGAAGAGGAAAAUUUGACAUACUGCAGUUAGUGACUUUGUAUAUCUAUUGUAACUUCAUCUUUUAGUUCACAAUGACAAGGAAUUUUAUUGUAAUUUUUUCACAACCUGGAGAUAGUUGUUAGUUUUGCAAAAUAUAUGUCCGGUGCAAAAUCUAUUUAAAGAUAGAAACAAUAGAACCUCAUCAAUUGUAUCUAUGCACUGCAUUUCAUAUCUUUUUUCUUCCUAAUUGUUUUGCUUAUAUUGGAUUAUGCACUUUAGAUUAUGUGCUUAAUAUGGUUUUCAAAUUGAUAAUAGUUCUGUCACAUGUAUUUUGCACUAUAUUUCAUAUGGAUGUUCAUGGUGUUUAGAUUUCAUAUGGAUUUCAGAUUAUUCUAACUAAAACUACUUCGUUAUGUGUAGGUUGCAUAUGAAGAACACUUUGUAGCCGCUGCUUAUUAAAUAUUAUAUUUGUAGGAUUGAUAUUAAAUUUUAUAUUUGUAUGAUUGAUACCGGAUGAAACAAACAUGUAAUUGUGUAAAUACACAUUUUGUAUAGUGUGAUCAAUUUCCACCCCUGAUGCAAUGUUGUAUCUCUGUAAAUUUUAUAUAGUUCAAUAGACAUAUGAAAAGUUGAAUCUGAAAAGCAUC
rnacentral:lncRNA from 1 species